ACACGACUACAUUAGAUACCCCCUGUAGUCCUAGCCGUAAACGAUACUCGCUAGGUGUCGGCCACGGUGCGACCGUUGUCGGUGCCGUAGGGAAGCCGUGAAGCGAGCCACCUGGGAAGUACGGCCGCAAGGCUGAAACUUAGAGGAAUUGGCGGGGGAGCACAACAACGGGUGGAGCUUGCGGUUUAAUUGGAUUCAACGCCGGAAAUCUUACCGGGACCGACAGCAACAUGAAGGCCAAGCUGAAGACUUUGCCGGAUUAGCUG
rnacentral:rRNA from 1 species